rnacentral:rRNA from 1 species
UACGGAGGGGGCUAGCGUUGUUCGGAAUUACUGGGCGUAAAGCGCGCGUAGGCGGGCUGUUAAGUCGGGGGUGAAAUCCCCGGGCUCAACCCCGGAACUGCCUUCGAUACUGGCGGGCUAGAGGAAGGCAGAGGCUAGUGGAAUGGAGAGUGUAGAGGUGACAUUCGUAGAUAUUCGCCGGAACACCAGUGGCGAAGUCGACUGGCUGGGCCUUUUCUGACGCUGAGGUGCGAAAGCGUGUGGCGCAAGCAGG